UACGUAGGGGGCAAGCGUUGUCCGGAAUUAUUGGGCGUAAAGAGCGUGUAUGCGGCCAGAUAAGUCCGCUGUGAAAUCUCGAGGCUCAACUUCGAGCUGUCGGUGGAAACUAUCUGGCUAGAGUCCGGAAGAGGAGAAUGGAAUUCCUGGUGUAGCGGUGAAAUGCGCAGAUAUCAGGAAGAACACCCGUGGCGAAGGCGGUUCUCUGGGACGGUACUGACGCUGAGACGCGAAAGCGUGGGGAGCGAACAGG
rnacentral:rRNA from 1 species